GCUCCUGGUGGUUGGUCCGCCCUUUGGUGUGUACUGGCCUGCCGGGAGCUUACCUUCUGGUGAAUCAUGAUGCCCUUUAUUGGGUGUUGUGGGGAACCAGGACUUUUACUUUGAAAAAAUUAGAGUGUUCAAAGCAGGCCUACGCCUGAAUACAUUAGCAUGGAAUAAUAGAAUAGGACGUGCGGUCCUAUUUUGUUGGUUUCUAGGAUCGCCGUA
rnacentral:rRNA from 1 species